rnacentral:rRNA from 1 species
AGAGUUUGAUCCUGGCUCAGGACGAACGCUGGCGGCGUGCUUAACACAUGCAAGUCGAACGGAAAGGCCCUUCGGGGUACUCGAGUGGCGAACGGGUGAGUAACACGUGGGUGAUCUGCCCUGCACUUUGGGAUAAGCCUGGGAAACUGGGUCUAAUACCGAAUAUGACCAUGCACUUCCUGGUGUGUGGUGGAAAGCUUUUGCGGUGUGGGAUGGGCCCGCGGCCUAUCAGCUUGUUGGUGGGGUACUGGCCUACCAAGGCGACGACGGGUAGCCGGCCUGAGAGGGUGACCGGCCACACUGGGACUGAGAUACGGCCCAGACUCCUACGGGAGGCAGCAGUGGGGAAUAUUGCACAAUGGGCGCGAGCCUGAUGCAGCGACGCCGCGUGAGGGAUGACGGCCUUCGGGUUGUAAACCUCUUUCAGCACAGACGAAGCGCAAGUGACGGUAUGUGCAGAAGAAGGACCGGCCAACUACGUGCCAGCAGCCGCGGUAAUACGUAGGGUCCGAGCGUUGUCCGGAAUUACUGGGCGUAAAGAGCUCGUAGGUGGUUUGUCGCGUUGUUCGUGAAAACUCACAGCUUAACUGUGGGCGUGCGGGCGAUACGGGCAGACUUGAGUACUGCAGGGGAGACUGGAAUUCCUGGUGUAGCGGUGGAAUGCGCAGAUAUCAGGAGGAACACCGGUGGCGAAGGCGGGUCUCUGGGCAGUAACUGACGCUGGGGAGCGAAAGCGUGGGGAGCGAACAGGAUUAGAUACCCCGGUAGUCC